rnacentral:misc_RNA from 1 species
UUUCCGUAGGUGAACCUGCGGAAGGAUCAUAAAUGAGUUGUCAUGGGGUUCGAUGCUGGCAGCCAAUUUUUGGAUGCAUGUGCUUGCCCUAACAAUCAUCUUCCAAACACCUGUGCACAUUUUUGAGGGAGUCUUGAGUUGGUUGCCGCUCUUGGGUGAUUUUCUCACAUUCCCUUAAAUCAUUAUACGCUAUUAACAAUGUUGAACGUGCUCUGUGCCGCAAGGCUAUUAAUAUAAUACAACUUUUAACAACGGAUCUCUUGGCUCUC